GACGGAAGGUGCAAGCGUUGCUCGGAAUCACUGGGCGUAAAGGGUGCGUAGGCGGCCGUGCAAGUCUGGCGUGAAAGCCCCGGGCUCAGCCCGGGAAGUGCGCUCGAAACUGCGCGGCUCGAGUGCCGGAGGGGAGAGUGGAAUUCCUGGUGUAGCGGUGAAAUGCGUAGAUAUCAGGAGGAAUACCAGUGGCGAAGGCGAGUCCCUGGACGAUACCUGACACUGAGGCACGAAAGCUAGGGGAGCAAACAGG
rnacentral:rRNA from 1 species